AUCCUAUCCACAGCAAUGUCAGAGAUCCCAUGGGGGCUUCCCCCAACUUGCGCAAGUGAUGUUGGGAAGCACACAGCAACAGCCAAUUGGAGUAGAGAGUCACGGUGACAUCAACAGGCUGCUCGCUCGAACAUAAAUAAUCAAACAUGGCUGAA